UACGUAGGAUGCAAGCGUUGUCCGGAAUUAUUGGGCGUAAAGAGCGCGCAGGCGGUCAUUCAAGUCAGAUGUGAAAUAUCCGGGCUUAACCCGGAGGGGUCAUUUGAAACUGGGUGACUAGAGUACAGCAGAGGAUAGCGGAAUUCCCGGUGUAGUGGUGAAAUUCGUAGAUAUCGGGAGGAACACCGGUGGCGAAGGCGGCGGCCUGGGUUGACACUGACGCUGAGGCGCGAAAGCGUGGGGAGCAAACAGG
rnacentral:rRNA from 1 species